GAGACGAAGCGAGACGACGGCUGAAGUCAGACCUGUGGAAAUGUUUCUAUUUUACCUCUUUGUGCUUCAGUCUGCAGCAGUGGCGGCAUUUGUUCAGAGAGCAGGAGAGGACGUCACUCUGACUUGUGAAAAUAAGGUAGAGGGUCAACGGAACUGUAAUGGGACAAAGUGGAUCUAUUUUCCUGGAAACAGUUAUGUCGUGAAGCUGGUUGAAUUUGGGAAGAUUAAAGACUACAGUGACAUAACAUCAGACAGAAUGAGAGUUGCAGCAGAUUGCUCUCUGAUUCUGAGGAAAGUCACAGAAAAACAAGUUGGUCAUUAUUAUUGUGGACAAUUCAAAUCAGACAGUUCAAAGCAACCCGUUCUAGUUAGCUGGUCUUUCGUGGAUCUGUCUGUCGUCAACAUCGUGACUGAACAUGACUCCGAUGACGAGGAGACACUGAAAUGCUUCGUGACGUCUAUACAGGAAAACUGUGAACUGGAAGUGAAGUGGACGAUCAAAGAUCAAG
ensembl:lncRNA